CUUAAUAAUGCAGUCGAACGAACUCUGGUAUUGAUUGGUGCUUGCAUCAUGAUUUACAUUUGAGUGAGUGGCGAACUGGUGAGUAACACGUGGGAAACCUGCCCAGAAGCGGGGGAUAACACCUGGAAACAGAUGCUAAUACCGCAUAACAACUUGGACCGCAUGGUCCGAGUUUGAAAGAUGGCUUCGGCUAUCACUUUUGGAUGGUCCCGCGGCGUAUUAGCUAGAUGGUGGGGUAACGGCUCACCAUGGCAAUGAUACGUAGCCGACCUGAGAGGGUAAUCGGCCACAUUGGGACUGAGACACGGCCCAAACUCCUACGGGAGGCAGCAGUAGGGAAUCUUCCACAAUGGACGAAAGUCUGAUGGAGCAACGCCGCGUGAGUGAAGAAGGGUUUCGGCUCGUAAAACUCUGUUGUUAAAGAAGAACAUAUCUGAGAGUAACUGUUCAGGUAUUGACGGUAUUUAACCAGAAAGCCACGGCUAACUACGUGCCAGCAGCCGCGGUAAUACGUAGGUGGCAAGCGUUGUCCGGAUUUAUUGGGCGUAAAGCGAGCGCAGGCGGUUUUUUAAGUCUGAUGUGAAAGCCUUCGGCUCAACCGAAGAAGUGCAUCGGAAACUGGGAAACUUGAGUGCAGAAGAGGACAGUGGAACUCCAUGUGUAGCGGUGAAAUGCGUAGAUAUAUGGAAGAACACCAGUGGCGAAGCGGCUGUCUGGUCUGUAACUGACGCUGAUGCUCGAAAGUAUGGGUAGCAAACAGGAUUAAUACCCUUGGUAGUCCAUACCGUAAACGAUGAAUGCUAAGUGUUUGGAGGGUUUCCCGCCCUUCAGUGCUGCAGCUAACGCAAUUAAGCAUUCC
rnacentral:rRNA from 2 species